GACGAACGCUGGCGGCGUGCCUAAUACAUGCAAGUCGAACGCUGAAGCGAGGCGCUUGCUCUUCUUGGGUGAGUUGCGCACGGGUGAGUAACGCGUGGGUCACCUGCCUUGUAGCGGGGGAUCACUAGUGGAAACGAUAGCUAAUACCGCAUAACAAUGGAUGGCACAUUUCAUUUAUUUGAAAGGGGCCAUUGCUGCACUACCAGAUGGACCUGCGUGGUGUUAGCUAGUAGGUGAGGUAACGGCUCACCUAGGCGAGGCUACGUAGCCGACCGGAGCGGGGGGUCGGCCACACUGGGACGGAGCCAGGCACCAGAGGCCUACGGGAGGCAGCAGAAGGGAACCGUCGGCAAUGGGGGCAACCCUUACCGAGCAACGCGGCGCGAGUUACGAAGGCGUUCGGAUCGUAAAGCUCGGUUUUAAGUUAAGAACCAGUGUGGGAGGUGAAAGUGCACACGGGGACGGUAGCUGACCAGAAAGAGACGGCUAAUUACUG
rnacentral:rRNA from 1 species